rnacentral:rRNA from 1 species
GUAGCUUGCUACCUGCCGGCGAGUGGCGAACGGGUGAGUAAUACAUCGGAACGUGCCCUGUAGUGGGGGAUAACUAGUCGAAAGACUAGCUAAUACCGCAUACGACCUGAGGGUGAAAGUGGGGGACCGCAAGGCCUCAUGCUAUAGGAGCGGCCGAUGUCUGAUUAGCUAGUUGGUGGGGUAAAGGCCCACCAAGGCGACGAUCAGUACUGGUCUGAGAGGACGAUCAGCCACACUGGGACUGAGACACGGCCCAGACUCCUACGGGAGGCAGCAGUG